GACGAACGCUGGCGGCGUGCUUAACACAUGCAAGUCGAACGGGAAGGCCCUGCUUUUUUGGGGUGCUCGAGUGGCGACCGGGUGAGUAACACGUGAGUAACCUGCCCUUGCCUUUGGGAUAACUUCAGGAAACUGGGGGUCAUACCGGAUAGGAGCUCCUGCUGCAUGGUGGGGGUUGGAAAGUUUCGUGGGUUGGGGAUGGACUCGCGGCGGAUCAGCUUGUUGGUUGGGUAGUGGCUUACGAAGGCGUUGACGGGUGGCCGGGGGGAGAGGAGGACCAGGUGCACUGGGACUGAGACACGGCCCAGACGGGGACGGGAGGGAGGGGUUGGGAAUAUUGGGGCAGGGGCGAGAGCCUGAUCCAGCAAUGCCGGGGGAGUGAUGAAGGGGUUAGGGUUGUAAAGCUCUUUUACCCGGGAUGAUAAUGACAGUACCGGGAGAAUAAGCUCCGGCUAACUCCGUG
rnacentral:rRNA from 1 species